rnacentral:rRNA from 1 species
GACGAACGCUGGCGGCGUGCUUAACACAUGCAAGUCGAACGGUGAAGCUCCAGCUUGCUGGAGUGGCUCAGUGGCGAACGGGUGAGUAACACGUGAGCAACCUGCCCCUGACUCUGGAAUAAGCGCUGGAAACGGCGUCUACUACUGGAUACGAGAAGGGUCCGCAUGGGCACUUUCUGGAAAGUUUUUCGGUUGGGGAUGGGCUCGCGGCCUAUCAGCUUGUUGGUGAGGUAAUGGCUCACCCAGGCGACGACGGGUAGCCGACCUGAGAGGGCGACCGGCCACACUGGGACUGAGACACGGCCCAGACUCCAACGGGAGGCAGCAGGGGGGAAUAUUGCACAAUGGUCGAAAGCCUGAGGAAGCGACGCCGCGAUAGUGAUGACGGCCUUCGGGUUGUAAACCUCUGUCAGCAGAGAAGAAGCGAAAGUGACGGUACCUGCAGAAGAAGCACCGGCUAACUACGUG